rnacentral:rRNA from 1 species
UAAUACAUGCAAGUCGAGCGAACGGACGAGAAGCUUGCUUCUCUGAUGUUAGCGGCGGACGGGUGAGUAACACGUGGAUAACCUACCUAUAAGACUGGGAUAACUUCGGGAAACCGGAGCUAAUACCGGAUAAUAUUUUGAACCGCAUGGUUCAAAAGUGAAAGACGGUCUUGCUGUCACUUAUAGAUGGAUCCGCGCUGCAUUAGCUAGUUGGUAAGGUAACGGCUUACCAAGGCAACGAUGCAUAGCCGACCUGAGAGGGUGAUCGGCCACACUGGAACUGAGACACGGUCCAGACUCCUACGGGAGGCAGCAGUAGGGAAUCUUCCGCAAUGGGCGAAAGCCUGACGGAGCAACGCCGCGUGAGUGAUGAAGGUCUUCGGAUCGUAAAACUCUGUUAUUAGGGAAGAACAUAUGUGUAAGUAACUGUGCACAUCUUGACGGUACCUAAUCAGAAAGCCACGGCUAACUACGUGCCAGCAGCCGCGGUAAUACGUAGGUGGCAAGCGUUAUCCGGAAUUAUUGGGCGUAAAGCGCGCGUAGGCGGUUUUUUAAGUCUGAUGUGAAAGCCCACGGCUCAACCGUGGAGGGUCAUUGGAAACUGGAAAACUUGAGUGCAGAAGAGGAAAGUGGAAUUCCAUGUGUAGCGGUGAAAUGCGCAGAGAUAUGGAGGAACACCAGUGGCGAAGGCGACUUUCUGGUCUGUAACUGACGCUGAUGUGCGAAAGCGUGGGGAUCAAACAGGAUUAGAUACCCUGGUAGUCCACGCCGUAAACGAUGAGUGCUAAGUGUUAGGGGGUUUCCGCCCCUUAGUGCUGCAGCUAACGCAUUAAGCACUCCGCCUGGGGAGUACGACCGCAAGGUUGAAACUCAAAGGAAUUGACGGGGACCCGCACAAGCGGUGGAGCAUGUGGUUUAAUUCGAAGCAACGCGAAGAACCUUACCAAAUCUUGACAUCCUUUGACAACUCUAGAGAUAGAGCCUUCCCCUUCGGGGGACAAAGUGACAGGUGGUGCAUGGUUGUCGUCAGCUCGUGUCGUGAGAUGUUGGGUUAAGUCCCGCAACGAGCGCAACCCUUAAGCUUAGUUGCCAUCAUUAAGUUGGGCACUCUAAGUUGACUGCCGGUGACAAACCGGAGGAAGGUGGGGAUGACGUCAAAUCA